AUCAUUACACAAAUAUGAAGGCGGGCUGGAUCUCUCGGGGUUACAGCCUUGCUGAAUUAUUCACCCUUGUCUUUUGCGUACUUCUUGUUUCCUUGUUGGGUUCGCCCACCACUAGGACAAACAUAAACCUUUUGUAAUUGCAAUCAGCGUCAGUAACAAAUUAAUAAUUACAACUUUCAACAACGGAUCUCUUGGUUCUGGCAUCGAUGAAGAACGCAGCGAAAUGCGAUAAGUAGUGUGAAUUGCAGAAUUCAGUGAAUCAUCGAAUCUUUGAACGCACAUUGCGCCCUUUGGUAUUCCAAAGGGCAUGCCUGUUCGAGCGUCAUUUGUACCCUCAAGCUUUGCUUGGUGUUGGGCGUCUUGUCUCUAGCUUUGCUGGAGACUCGCCUUAAAGUAAUUGGCAGCCGGCCUACUGGUUUCGGAGCGCAGCACAAGUCGCACUCUCUAUCAGCAAAGGUCUAGCAUCCAUUAAGCCUUUUUUUCAACUUUUGACCUCGGAUCAGGUAGGGAUACC
rnacentral:rRNA from 1 species